GACGAACGCUGGCGGCGUGCUUAACACAUGCAAGUCGAACGGAAAGGCCCUGCUUUUGUGGGGUGCUCGAGUGGCGAACGGGUGAGUAACACGGGAGUAACCUGCCCUGGACUUUGGGAUAACUUCAGGAAACUGGGGCUAAUACCGGAUAGGAGCUCCUGCUGCAUGGUGGGGGUUGGAAAGUUUGGGCGGUUGGGGAUGGACUCGCGGCUUAUCAGCGUGUUGGUGGGGUAGUGGCUUACCAAGGCUUUGACGGGUAGCCGGCCUGAGAGGGUGACCGGCCACAUUGGGACUGAGAUACGGCCCAGACUCCUACGGGAGGCAGCAGUGGGGAAUAUUGCCCAAUGGGCGGAAGCCUGAUGCAGCAACGCCGCGUGCGGGAUGACGGCCUUCGGGUUGUAAACCGCUUUCGCCUGUGACGAAGCGUGAGUGACGGUAAUGGGUAAAGAAGCACCGGCUAACUACGUG
rnacentral:rRNA from 1 species